AGAUAAUCAUACAAAGAACUAGCCCUUUCCAACUCACUGUAAAUCCUCAAUCCAUGUUAGCUUUUUGUAACAUUAAUAACAUAGCAAUAAUAAUUUGUAGCUUGAAUAAUAGUAAGUUGCCUAAAGAGAUGUAGCUAAGGAAGUCUGAGUUAGCCUUUGGACUCUGAACUGCCUCUGCAUUUAGCACACUGAUAUGCAGAGCAAGCUGUAUCCACACUGAUCUCAGUGUGCUGCAGUUUCAAAAGCUGUUCAGCUGGGAUCAAGGAAAGCAAUGACCGCCUACUCCCCAAAUCCUUUCUAUUUCGAAAUUCCCAGGUCAAUGAUGACCAUUGCCAGAGGGUCUCAGGAAGGUGGAAUCCACAUGGAGAGUUGGAAAAGGGAGGCCGAGGUGGGCAGAUCACCUGAAGUCAGGAGUUCAAGACCAGCCUGGCCACCAUGGCGAAACCUCGUCUCUACUAAAAAAUACAAAAAUUAGCUGGGUGUUGCAGUGGGUACCUGUAAUUCCAGCUACUUAGGAGGCUGAGGCAGGGAGAACUGCUUGAACCCAGAAAGCGGAGGUUGCAGUGAGCUGUGAUUGUGCCACUACACUCCAGCCUGCAACCCUGUCACAAAAAAAAAAAAAAAAAGAAAGAAAGAAAAAAAGAAAAAUGAGUGGGAACUGAGGAAGUCUAAAUAAAAUUCUAAACAGCAAGUAUAAACCUUUGUUUUUUCAAUGAAGAGGAAUCACUAGAGUGGACACAGGAGGAUGGUGGAAAUUGAAGACAGGUAAGAAUAGAACACAUUUAUUGACGGAGAGGAGGGAGCUAGCAGAAAGUAUGGUUAACAGAGAGAGAAAAUAAGUGAAGACCCCAGUCCUUAAGGAAGGACUGUGAGGAUGGGGCAAGAGGAGGGAAGGAAAAGCGUCACCUCUUCCACUGAGGGCUAGAAAGGAGGUGGAGACAAGUGCAUAGGCAUUUGCAUGUCUGAGCAGGGCUUUGAAGAGGGUAAAUGUCUAAAAGCCUCUAGCAUCUCAGAAAAGUUGAAGAUGAGGUUAUAUGCUACACUGGAGAGGAGUAGAGACAAGACUGGAAAAUUUGAGUGCAUGGCUUCAGGUCUGAAAUAAACAUUGGAAGGCGACAGAGAGGAAGUUGAACCAGUCUGUGUAGAAGGAUGUGAGCACUGGGAUUUCAAAGACGAGGUUUGUAGAGGCCCCAGUCUGCAUCUUUAUAUGAUUUCCUCCAGCAUUUUUGUAACAUUACAUUGCAUUUUGUAACAUUGCUGAGCCCCUCUUUGAGUAAUUGGCAGAAAAGGCUGAGUCCUCAUAGAAUUGUGUGCUAUUUCUAAAACAUAUCCAUGGUUUAAAAAGCUUUAAGAUCUAUAAACUAAAAUCCACCCAUUUUGCAGGAUGAUUCACAGUGUCGACAGUUUGGAUCAAUUUCCUGAAGAAAGGACAAAACUGGAAGCUAUUCUUUAUGAGAGAAGAGAAUUCCAACCAGUGAGAUGAGAAUUGCACAAAUCCUGCAGCCCAUCUCUGCCACAGCUCAAAAUUGUUGGGUAAGUAAUGACCCAGACCAUUGAAGAAAAUGAGGAAACUGUGCACACAGACUGAUGUCUUAUGUGACCAACAUGCAUAUAAGAAAUGGAAGCUUCCCCCUAUCUUUCCAGAGUUCAAAAAUCCUAUUGCUGAAUUCACCUCCAAUUCCAUGAAACAAUAUAAAAGAUCCUCCAUAAAGACCCCAGGUUAUAAUGUUUACAAUUUAUUUUGUACUCCUUUUCUCUGGUAAUUGAUGACUGCUAUUAUUAAUGAAGACAUUACAAGGAAUAAAAGGGCUUGCCUGCCACUUCUCACCACAAAACCGUGUGGCAUCAAACAGAAUGAAAUCCUUCUGACACUGACAGCUGGAGAAAACCUUGUCACCACAGUGACAGUGUCAAGUGUGGUGUGACAUCUCUGUGUGUGUUUCUUUUGCACCUAAUAACUUCGUUGCCAAUACAGACCAAAAUAAUGAAAGAAAACCUGCUUUUGCCAGCCCAAAGGAUUAACUGUACUGUUGAGAAAACUGCAGGAAUAUUUGACAUGAGAUCACAAUUUUUAAUUCUUUUCCCCCCAGGAUUCUGCAUGAAGUAUUUUUCUAUGAAGGAUUUAAAUAGAAUUACUUUUCCUCACAUUGGUCAUGGAGAGAAUUAAGACAUUAACUGUUGAUCCAAUUUAUACUGCCAUUUGAUCCCAUAAGUGCUAUACAGGACUCGGUUACUCAUGGAAAAUAGUUCCUGCCAGAUCAAACACUCUCAGGGCCAAAGUCACAAGAUUCUGACUUUACAUGCUCUGUUCUGCCUCCUUUCAUUUUGCCUCUUGGAUUGUCAUGAACUUCCUGAGCAAGAAGGCCAUCCACCAUGCAGUGUAAUGUCUUGCUAAGAGAAAUUAGUAUUCAGUCUGCUCAGGUUCCAGCAAGGACUUUCUUCAUGAAGAUCUUCAAGUGGAAUCAAGCAUAGCCCAUCUGGAUUCUUUACACUAAGGCAAGAGGCAAGCAGAAGACAAAGAGAGAAAGCAGAGGACCUCCGGGAAAGGAAGCCCCCUUUUCAGUCGGCCUAGGCAGAAGUAGAUUUACUCUGAGGAUUCACUCCAAGGGUGAAGUUUUAAGGGUGCUUCACUUGCUCUGGUUUCAUAAAUAAAUUUUGAUCUUCUUAAAUACAUUUGGAUUAAAUUUUCAUGUUUUUUUCUAAAAGAAAUUGUACAAACCUGAGGACCCAUGAACUUAGUUUCACCCCUCCUACUGGGGAAGCCUAGCAACUCCAAAUGGCCUUUGUCACCAUCUGAUUCUUAAAUUCUAAUUUCCACAUUGUUGUGUAAAAACAAGAAGCUAUAGAUAACAGUUGAGUUGUAAAGUUAUCUGGUGUACUUUAUUAUUAGCAGUGAUUGAUGUGGAUAAUGGACAAUCUGGAAAAUCCUGAAUACUUAACAAACAAUAUUAUUUAUAUCUAUCCAUUUUACUUUACAUGCAUAGAUGGAGGCUUUUAAAGAGUGUUACUUGUGAAACAUGUUUUUAAAAUUAUUUUGUCCUAUCUUAUGUUAUUAGACCCCUGAGAACUCAAGUUUAUAGAGAUUAGCAAUAUGAUUUUUAUAAAUAUUUUUAAGUACUUACCUCCCAGACCAUUGUAAAUGGGAUGGGCCAUAAUUACAAAUUUAUCAUUAAAAUAAAAAGAAUGUUAAGAAGCAUAUAAAAAUUACACAAUCCCAAUCUAUCUUUUCACAGAUUGACUGUCAAAUGCAUUCUGAUGGGAAAAUGAAUAGUAAAAAAAGACAUAAUAUACUGACAUUGAGCAUAUUUUAUAUUGAACAAGACUGUUUAAAAUUCUUCACAUAGCAUGUUCAGGCUGCAUUUUAAUUAAAUGCCAUGCAGAAGUGCUCAGCUUUUGAACCAUGUAAUAUUCCCAGG
rnacentral:lncRNA from 1 species